rnacentral:rRNA from 1 species
GGACCCGCACAAGCGGUGGAGUAUGUGGUUUAAUUCGAUGCAACACGAAGAACCUUACCAGGGUUUGAAAUCAUUUCAAAACUCCUUGAAAGAGGAGCCUCCUUCGGGAUGAAAUGACAGGUGGUGCAUGGCUGUCGUCAGCUCGUGUUGUGAAAUGUCGAGUUAAGUCUCGUAACGAGCGCAACCCAUGUCUCUUGUUGCUCACUGAGUGCUUAAGAGAGACUGCCGACCAACAUCGGAGGAAGGUGUGGAUGAUGUCAAGUCAGCAUGCCCCUUACAUCCUGGGCUACACACGUACUACAAUGGUAGGGACAAUGAGCUGCGAUCCUGCGAAGGCUAGCCAAUCUCAAAAACCCUAUCUCAGUUCGGAUUGUCGUCUGCAACUCGACGGCAUGAAGUCGGAAUC